rnacentral:rRNA from 1 species
GACGAAGGGGGCUAGCGUUGUUCGGAUUUACUGGGCGUAAAGCGCACGUAGGCGGAUCGUUAAGUCGGGGGGUGAAAUCCUGGAGCUCAACUCCAGAACUGCCUUCGAUACUGGCGAUCUUGAGUCCGGAAGAGGUGAGUGGAACUCCUAGUGUAGAGGUGGAAUUCGUAGAUAUUAGGAAGAACACCAGUGGCGAAGGCGGCUCACUGGUCCGGUACUGACGCUGAGGUGCGAAAGCGUGGGGAGCAAACAGG